GCCUGGAUAGCUCAAUUGGUUAGAGGGUAGUGCUGAUAAUGUGAAGGUUGCAGGUUUGAUCCCUGUAUGGGACA
rnacentral:tRNA from 1 species